GUCAUCAGCAGUGGCAAAGAUAGAAAGCCUCAAAGAGGUCCUGGCUCUGCAGAUGUGGUCCAGAGGAGGCGGCUGAAAGGCCUAUUGACCCCGGCCUGUAGGAGGUCAUCAUUUAAUCAACUGCCUUCCUCACAUAUUUCAGCACCAGAUAGGUAAAAGAGCUGAAAAAUCAGGACCAGACCAGGACUACAACAAGCCUUUAUUAUGGGGAGGAUCUGCCGGGCUGUCUCCUAACAAAGGAAAAAGCAGCAUAGAGGAACAGGGACCUUCUUUUAUAGAGUGGGGUGGUGUCAACCUGAGCUGGGGUGGAGUUGAGUGAGGUAGCAUUAAGAGAUUGGAGGAACCUGUGACAUCACUAGGAGGGGCUUGUGACAUGACUGGUUACUCAGAGGUAGCAAGUAACAGGUUACUCUUUUGGCAUAAAGAGAGGCAUGAUGGGAAAAAGGCUGUCCCUUGGUAGGAAAAGCUAUCUUUAACCUGGAGGCUGCUAUUCAAUGUGGCACUCAUCUUAAGGUGUAGAGCAUUAUGGGAAGGAGGCUACUGUUUCAUGUAGCAGCCAUCUUGAGAAUAGCAAGCAAACAAGUGAAACCAUUUUGGAAAAAUAGACAAGAAAAUAAAAUAAAGUCCACCUCUGUGAGAAAAAAAACAACAACAACAAGAGAACUGAAUUUUAAAGAAGGGAGACAUGGCUAACUAACAUAGUUCAGGUAAGUCAAGGAUGAAAGUUCAAUUAAUUGUACAUUUGAAUUCACAUCCU
rnacentral:lncRNA from 1 species